rnacentral:rRNA from 1 species
UGCAACAUAGUGUCAAUGCACUGGAUCCCAUUAGAACUUUGCAAUUAAGCGCACUCAGGCUAGAGUAGUACUAGGAUGGGUGAUCGCUCGAAAAGUCCUAGUGUUUUAU